GGCUCUGUGGCGCAAUGGAUAGCGCAUUGGACUUCUAGGUUGAUACAACGUCGGUAUUCAAAGGUUGUGGGUUCGAGUCCCACCAGAGUCG